UACAGAGGGUGCAAGCGUUGUUCGGAAUUAUUGGGCGUAAAGCGCGUGUAGGCGGCUUUGCAAGUCGGGUGUGAAAGCCCUCAGCUCAACCGGGGAAGGGGCGCCGAUACGACCGCCCUGGAGGGACGUAGGGGGGGCUGGAACUUCCGGUGGAGCGGUGAAAUGCGUUGAGAUCGGAAGGAACGCCCGUGGCGAAAGCGAGCCCCUGGACGUCUACUGACGCUGAGACGCGAAAGCCAGGGGAGCGAACGGG
rnacentral:rRNA from 1 species